CUGUUGUGAACAUCCAUGUUAUUGGAAAAGAACACAUUUUGAGUGUAUUUUAGAUGUUUAAAUUCUGACUUUUGGCUAUUAAAUGGUUUACAUAAUAAGCCAAGACCAAAUCAAUAAACAUUUUAUGAGAUUCUGUGCCUCUCAGGUUAAUGUGUUAAACAGUAACAUGGGGCUUGGUGCAGUGGCUUAUGCCAAUAAUCCCAGCACUCUGGGACUACAGACAGGCAUGCACCACCAUGCCUGGCUAAUUUUUGUAUUUUUAGUAGAGACAGAAUUUCACUAUAUUGGCCAGGCUAAUCUCGAACUCCUGACCUUGUGAUCCUCCUGCCUCGGCCUCCCAAAGCGCUGGGAUUACAGGCAUGAGCCACCGUGCCCAGCAGGCUCAUUUUUUAACUUUGCAAUAUUUUAACUUGAUACACCAUCUUUUGAUGUCCAUUUUACCAUUGUCUACAUUAGUUGAGGUCCUCAAUAUAUCUUCUUUAUGAACCUAAGUCUCUUUGAUGUCAAAGUAUUAAAUAUCAGUGGUGCAUGCCUGCCAGCUACUUGGAAGCUGAGGUGGGAGGAUCACUUGAGCCCAGGAGUUUGAAGCCAGACUGGGCAAUGUAGCAAGGCCCCAUCUCUUAAAAAAAAACAAAA
rnacentral:sRNA from 1 species